rnacentral:lncRNA from 1 species
AAAGAGAAAAGAUUUAGUGUGUUAUUUGUAAAAGGAAAAGGAAAUAAAAAUGUUAUAAUAAUAUUUAUUGUUAUUAUUAUUUAAAAGGAUCUUGGUAUACAUCCACGUCAUCUUAUCCACUUUUCCUCUCCUCCUUCACGUUGGACCCUACCCAUUGUCGAAUAACCCAAUUUGCAGUCGAUCGUCACACGUUUUUUGUCAAGUCAUCAUCGCAAGCAUCCACCGCACCACCUUCUUUUCUGUCUCAAAUAAAGUUGAACGAUCAUCGAUCCAAGCACCUUCCUCUACGCACCAUUGAGUUGAGAUCUUUUUUAUCUUCUCCAUCUUCGCUCGAGCCACUCUCCUCUACGCAUGAGCCACCCGAGUGCCUCCCUCCCCCUGCUUCGAGCCGACCCCUCUAUCUUGAACCGUUUCCAAGCCUCUUCCUUGUAUACCCAUCAAGUGUUUUUUGGGGUCACCGAGUAUCUCUAAGGAACCACUGGAACAUAUAUGUGUCAGUUGAGCUACGCUCAUGUUGACUUUAAAU